CCCCCCUCCCAUGGCUGCUCCCGCCUUGCCGCCCGCCCCAGGCGCGGUUCUCGCUGUCCCAGACACGGACUGUCUUUAGAACUCUAUGGUAAGCGUUGUUGUUGCCAUAGAAACCGGCGCCUGGCGUUAGAGAGCAGCAGUUACCGGAAGUGAGGCGGAAGCAGAAUAUCUCCAACCAAUCAGCGCGCAGCUUGCUCUGACCCCGCCCAAUCCGGAGCUCGCUUCUACUGUGAACCUGAGUGAAACAGCUCGUGUCAGCUGGACGGGGAAUCUGUCACCGAGAUAACCAGCUAAC